GGAAGAGGAACUGUAAAAACGCCUCCUCCUGUGAUUGGAAGAAGAACUGAAGAAAUGCCUCCUUUUGUGAAUAGAAGAAGAACUGUACCAACGCAUCGUCCUGGUGAGUAUGACAAUACCUUAAAUGGUAGAAUAAACACAUUCACUACUAGUGAACCUGAAGGGUGAAGAUUUCAUAGCUAAGUCUUACGUUAAUAUUAAUGAAAUAAUAUCAUGCCAUUUUGACAUUUCUAUUUAAAAAAAGUUCCUUGUGAUGUCAUUGUCAUGGUAUAACGUAUAACAUGACAUGUUUAGGAAAAUAACAUUUUAGCAUUAACAUAACACAAAUGAUACUAACUUAGACAAAUAUUACAUUUCUUUCCAAAUAUCAUAUAGUGUAAGACUGUUGCUUUUACUCAAUUACCAGAGAUAUAUUUGAAACUUCGGCAGCUCUACCAGAUUUUGCAGCAUUUCUUAAAUCAAGGAAAAUCUAAAGCUGCAAUAGCAAAUAUAUAUGACAGAUUUAAUCCAAUCGAAGAUACAAUUCUUAACAUUUGGUAUGCCAGAUGAGCGUAUCGUCUUCAUAAUACUCACCAGUGACAUUCGGAUCAAAACAGUACAAAAAUUGGAUGAUCAUUAAAAACCGAAAAUCUGAAAAUUUGGGCUUUAACAGCUUAGGUAAUUAAUGCAUAAGAGUAGAACAAUAUUAAUGUUUUGAUUAAUUGAACAUGCAACACAGAAUUUACCAUUAGCGGGCUGGUGAUUCCCUUAUGACCAAAACCUCCAUCAGCAGUCGCAUCAGCCAUCUGGUUUUCAAAAAGUCACCAAAGAUACCAUGUUGAUAAGUUGGUGCAGCAGAUGCGCGUUUCGUCUCAUCAGUGGCACUCGGAUCAAAACAGAUGAAAGCGAACAGAAAAAGAAAUGUAUCAAUGCCUGGUCGUGCUAGUCCAGGGGACAGUGGUUCUGAAUCAAUGUCAGAGGCUGAAUUUGAGAAUAUAUAACAGAAGAUGGAUUUACAGGCAAUAACACGUCAUGUUGGACAGUUUUGAGGAACAAGAAAAGAUCUUGGGAGGAUGCAUUUGGGAUAUAUACAUCUUUGAAUUUAACAGAUUUACACUACUCAUGCUUUACUAUGUUAUGUUAGCCAUUAUACCAAAUUUUGUAUUUUAUAUAGUACCGCUACGGCGUAUAAAGGAACUAUUUAUUGCCUUCAAAUGGUUCAGAUUGUAUUUGAUAGAAGUAGUUUUUAACUGCCUCGACAAAGUAACAAAGUGAGACGGAGACGUGCUGUUUCUAGCGGCGUCAAUAGAUAUAAGAAGAUGUGGUAUGAGUGCCAAUGAGACAACUCUCCAUCCAAGUCAACAUUUAUAAAAGUAAACCAUUAUAGGUCACAGUACGGUCUUCAACACGGAGCCUUGGCUCACACCGAACAGUAAGCUAUAAAGGGCCCCAAAAAAUUACUAGUGUAAAACAAUUCAAACGGGAAAACCAACGGUUUAAUCUAUAUAAAAAACGAGAAACGAGAAACACUUAUGAACCACAUCAACAAACGACAACUACUGAACAGAUUCCUGACUUCAAAAAUGUUUUAGUUUGUGAUUAGGUCAGUUUAUGCAGAACCAUUAGUGGUAUAUAAUGAAAUGUGGUAUGCAGUUGUAUAAGCAUUGGCACAUUUCAUCUCCAUAAAGAUUAUUAAGCCACCCCCAAAGUCAUGGUCCAUUGAUUUUUUAAAAACUUUUUCCUAAUUCACAAGUUAACAUUUUGAUAAGGUCACAUUGAAGGUACCUUUGAUAACUAUUUACACCACUGGGUCGAUGCCGCUGCUGGUGGACGUUUCGUCCCCGAGGAUAUCACCAGCCCAGUAGUCAGCACUUCGGUGUUUGACAUGAAUAUCAAUUAUACGGUCAUUUUUAUAAAAUUCCUGUUACAAAACUUUGAUUUUUUUCGGAAAACUAAGGAUUUUCUUAUCCCAGGAAUAGAUUACCUUAGCCGUAUUUGGCACAACUUUUUGGGAUUUUGGGUCCUCAGUGCUCUUCAACUUUGUACUUGUUUGGCUUUAUAACUAUUUUGAUCUGAGCGUCACUGAUGAGUCUUAUGUAGACGAAACGCGCGUCUGGCGUAUUAAAUUAUAAUCCUGGUACCUUUGAUAACUAAUUAUACUAUCAAAAUUAAAUAAAGGCAAGACAUAUCUGUGUGUCAACAGUUUAUGUAAAUUUCUAAUCAAAACUGAUCCCAUAAUACUAAACAACGCCUUAUUCUGAUCGUAAAAGGAAAAAAGAAUGAACAUAUCUAAUAAGCAGAACAUUUUAUAUUUUUAGCUUUUGAUAUAAUUUUAAUUAAUUCAACCGAAAUUUCACUUAAUAAAAAUUAAAAGCAUGUUUUUUUAUUCGUUUAUGUACUUGUGCAAUAGAC